AUUGAACGCUGGCGGCAGGCCUAACACAUGCAAGUCGAGCGGAGCGGCGGACGGGUGCGUAAUGCCUAGGAAUCUGCCUGGUAGUGGGGGAUACCGUCCGGAAACGGGAGCUCAUACCGCAUACUAUCAGAUGAGCCUAGGUCGGCUUAGCUAGCUGGUGGGGUAAAGGCCUAACAAGGCGACGAUCCGUAACUGGUCUGAGAGGAUGAUCAGUCAAACUGGAACGUAGACACGGUCCAGACGCCUACGGGAGGCAGAAUUGGGGAAUAUUGGACAAUGGGCGAAAGACUGAUCCAGCCAUGCCGCGUGUGUGAAGAAGGUCUUCGGAUUGUAAAGCACUUUAAGUUGGGAGGCGUUACCAACAGAAUAAGCACCGGCUAACUUCGUGCCAGCAGCCGCGGUAAUAC
rnacentral:rRNA from 1 species